rnacentral:rRNA from 1 species
UACGUCGGGUGCAAGCGUUGUCCGGAAUUAUUGGGCGUAAAGAGCUCGUAGGCGGCUUGUCACGUCUGCUGUGAAAACUCGGGGCUCAACCCCGAGCCUGCAGUGGAUACGGGCUAGCUAGAGUGCGGUAGGGGAGACUGGAAUUCCUGGUGUAGCGGUGAAAUGCGCAGAUAUCAGGAGGAACACCGGUGGCGAAGGCGGGUCUCUGGACCGAUACUGACGCUGAGGAGCGAAAGCGUGGGGAGCGAACAGG